GCCAUUUCAAAAUUUGAAAUCAACUAAGAGAGAAAGAGAGAGGGAGAGUGAGGGCUGAGAGCCUUCGUGAGAUUGCUCGGGAGAGCAGCCGAGAGUGAGGGAUAGAGAGUUUGAGAGUGUGAGGACCGAUCGGCCAUGGCAGCAACUGCCAUGGCCGAUGAUAGAAGCAGGUUGCAGCAGGCCAGGGGCGGUUUCGGGUGGAGCUUCGAGCAGCACGGAGGCAGCCUAAAGUCGACAGCAACGGCAGCUAGAAGCAAGGUCGAUGCUAGGUGCGUUGGAGGUUGGCGAUGGCAGCCAUGGCAGCUCAAAUAGUGUGCUAGGCAGAGCUGGAGUGGCCGCGAGGUAGCUGGCGAGCUCGGUAGGGGCCGAUGUGGCUGCUGGCUAGGCCGGAUGCGACUUGGGUGGCCAAACCGCAAGCUCCCAAGGUCGGCCAUGGCGGAUGCGAGUUGCAGCGCGCAAGGGAGCUGCCAGCCGUGUGUUGCUGCAAUGGAGGCAGCCCGCAAGGAGGGCCACGAUGCAGUCGGUGGCCGCCGAGGACGGUGCUACGAGCAACGAAGGGCGGCACAACAAGGCGGCGGUGGCUGCUUGUGCGCAGCCGUGCGCGAAGAAGGAAGAAGAGCAGUUGCGCGGGAAUGCGAAGGAGGAAGAAGAUGAACAGGGGAAGGGAAAAGAAAAUAAAGAGAAAAAGAAAAAUAAAAGAAAAGAAAAAAAUGAAAAUUUUGGAAAAUAAGGGAAAAAUGGAGAAAAAUCCCGAAAAAAUUCCAGAAAAAGUGGGGAAAGUUCUGGAAAUUAAUUUGGGGCCCGAGGAGCGUGUUGGAGGCCGAGAAUGGGAUUUGGGCCCAAGAUUUGCAGCUCAAGAGGCAAUGCCGGGUGAGCGUUUUCCCGAUGUCUUCUCCAGAAUUAAUUGAGGUUCGACCGGGGAAGACAGUGAUUCAAGAAGAACUUGAGAUUCACGCUGGAGUUCGUGCCGAGGCAAAGUUGAAGCUUCGAGCUAGAUAUUGCAAGUCCAGAGGCAAGCAGGGAUGGCGCCGGGAAGCUGUUGUGGCAAUUAAAUUUGUUGCUUGAGAUGUGUUGUUGUGUAUUCCCUUGUAAAUUUUUAUACGUAUUCAUGUAAUUAAGUGUAAGCGAUAUUGAGCAUUAGAUGUAUUUAAUUGUGAUAAUCAUCAUAGUGUGAUAAAUGAUUGUGAGAUGGUUCUUUGGAUAUGGCUUAGUCGGCCAAGAUGAGUUUCGGACCAAGUAAAGAUCAGCAAGGUACGUUCUCAUAAAUUCCCAGUACUCAGCGAAGUGUUUGUAUGCUAGCUUGUGCCUGGGUCACCUCUGGCUUGCUAUGGGGCGAGCUAAAGAGAGAUGAAGCUCACUUGGG